rnacentral:lncRNA from 1 species
GUUUUCCUUAGAAUGGUGAAGCUCCGUGUAAAACGAUAAAAAUUGUCACACAACAGCGAUCAAAAAUGUCAAAUAAACAUCGAAAAAUCAUUGUUUGCUACCUGGAUUUUCACAUGUACCUUUUCUGAUAUAUAGUCUUACCUGUCUGAAAGUUUCAAAGCCAUUGUCCCAGUAGAAAUCCAAAUAUAUUCAUUUUCUCCAUGUCGGAUAUUUUUAUUGACUGUACAAUCGCUCGCAAGUUGACUGUAAUAUCACUCGGAGCCUUCCUGUAAAUCACUUGGAGCUUUCCUGUAGAAUUGCUUGGCCAAAUUUAUUAAAUACAUUGCAUAUGCAUUGUAUUGGUUGUGUAUUGCUGUCCUAUUUGUUCAUCUAUGGUAUUUGAAGUGAAAAUAAGCACAAAACCAGUCAUUUUGACAAUUAAGAUUCUAUCAAGGAACCCUAUUAAGGUGACUAUAUCAGAGACAAAAACAAAACGUGUACACUACACAUAAAAAAGAAGAUGUGGUAUGAUUGCCAAAGAGACAACUUUCCACAAGAGACCAAAAUGACACAGAAAUUACCAACUAUUAUAGGUCACCGUACGGUCGUCAACAAUGAAUAAAGCCCAUACCGC